rnacentral:lncRNA from 1 species
UGUAAAUAAACAAGGUGAGGGGAAAAUUUCUGUUAAUAAAGACAUGGUAUCUUGAGGGAAGCAUUUCUCCCUAAGUGCAGAGUUAUUUUCAUCAGAGAGAGCUUCUCUUAACAUACAGCUUGAGGCAAAAUUAAAAUCCAGAAACACAGUUUAAGAGAGUAUGAACUCUUGCUAGAACUGCAAUGUAUCUACCCCAGGGGUCCUAAGAAUUUGCUAACCCCUAACUGCCAGUUCUUCUCUAGCCAAGAAAAUCAAGCAGCUAAGAACUCCUUGGGGAAGGCAGGGUGGUGAAUGGAGACCUAUUAUAAAAUAUACACCUUCAAGAGAACAAGAAUUACAGGUAACCUCCCUCUUCUCCAAAGCGAGUGGUGGUAAUAGAACUCCUCUCUGUGGACACUAAGAAGGCCUUGCUUGUUCUGUGGCUUUGACCAUUUAUAUUUAAUUUAUGGUUUUAAUUUUCUGGAAAGAGCCCAAAGGAGCCCACUGCCCAAUGGAGUGCAUGAUACAGGUUUGGUAAGCACAAGUUAAAAUAAAAUAAAAAUGCUUCAGUGCCUUCGGAUGUGUCUAAAACAACAGAAUUAAGAGACUCUAAAAACCAGGGUCAUAAUUAUCUUUCAGUUUAUCUUAAAUGGCAAAGUGUAAGGGAAGAAAGGUGAGUAAAGAAAGAAAUGGGAGGGGGCUUUAAAAUGACAGGAUAUAGCAUUAAGCAUGGUUGAACCAGACUUAAACGUUGGCCCUGCCAGCCUUCCUGAAAAUGGAACAUUAUAGCCUUGCAAAAUCUGGAUUUCACAGUGAGAAAAAAAUCAAACAUAACACUUCUCACUCUGAAUCACUUUACCCAAAAGAGGGUUUUGAAUUGAAACCCUCAUUACUGCCAAUAACUGAGUUUACCUAAAUAAUCUCUAGCACUUUGGAAAGAGGGUAAGGCCACUGCUGUUUGGCAGAUUUAAAAAAGGCAGGAGUUGUGUCCUAGAGAAACCUUUUCUUCCCUUGAACUUUUUCAGAAAAGCUUUCCUGCUUUGGGCCCUCAUCUCCAGAGGAAUCCAUUGUGCAAAAUGUAGAAUACGGACCUAUAGAAAUAUUGGCUUAUUAACAUGUAUUUUUCUUUGGCAUUGCCCAUGCAUGCGCUAAAUGCAGACUUUUCAUUUUUGGGAAGGGUAAGGUGAGCUAUUUAAAUUUACUUGAUUUCAGGAAAUAUCCACAGAGACAUCCUAGACCCUCAAGAACCUUGCAUCUGUGUUCAAACAGUUGAAUUUAAACAAACAGUUGUGGAAGCCGGAAGUUCAAAAUCAAGAUGUCAGCAGUGUGUGUCAGUUCCUUCUGGAGUCUCGAGGAAGGAUCCGUUGUAUGAGUCUCUCCUUCCCUCUGUGCUGCAACUCCUGAAACCUGAAGUCUGUGACUCACCAGUUCUAAGCCCCAGAGUCCUGAUGGGGCACCUCAAGGAGACACUUCAGCCACCUAAGUCAGCUGGACCACCCCAUGACACAGUCAUGGAGGUUCCAGUCUGAAUUCAGAGUCAAUGAUAAGGGAGGCUUCCGUGGCAGAGUGAAAAGCACACACCUGAGAAAUGAAAAGAAAUGGCAAAGGUCACACGUCUCAGGAUGAAUUGCACUGUGUGUGACACCCUAGCUGAAAUCCUAUCCCACAGGACCAUCAGGUGAGCAAUUAAAGAAAGUGGCUGAAAUUGCUUCCAUGUUCUUUUUUCUCUUCUAAAAAUAUCUAUGCUGAGACUUUUUCCCCGUGUGUGUGUAUACACGUGUGUGUAUACACGUGUGUGUAUACAUGUGUGCAGCUUCCCAUGCUUGUGCAGGCCUCUGUGCUAAAGUCGGUGUCUUCAUUCAGACUGCACUUCAUUAUGGUUUUGCUUGAUGUCUGCCUCUCUCUUCCAUUGCCUUUCUUCUAAUUCAUGCUCUACAUUGCAGCAAGAAUGCCAUUCCUCUGUUUAAUAUACUUUCAUGGAUGCUCAUUUGUCUAGACACCUUCUCAUGGGACACAUUCUGCCUUCUACUUAUAACUUAUUUAUCUGCCUUCUUUUGCACAAUGACCACUUCUUCCUUAAAGAUCCAGUGUUGACAUCAUCUCUUCCAUUCACGGAGGCUUCCCAACUCUUCCAGGCAGAGUGAGUCAUCCAUUUCCCUGGGCUCCUCCGGCAUCUCAUAGAGACUUCUGUUGUGGAUUCCCCUGCUCUGUGCCACAAUGAUGUGUCGACAAGUUUGUCUCUCCCACAGCAUACACUGUGGGAUUCUUUAAAACAGAGAUGGUGUCAUGAAUUUCUGGUUUGGCAGGUUUGAAAAUAUUAUGCAGAACAUUAGUUUUUUUAAUAAAAGAAAAAUGAAUAAACAGAAGGAUAAAGCAUUAAGCUUAACCUCUAUAUAUACAGAACUCUGUAUCUGUAAAAAGAGGAUAAUAAAGAUACCCAGUUGUGGUAGAUUAAAUGAUUAACUGCAAUUCUUUACUCUUUCCUUUUGUGCCACAUGGGCAGAAGCUUGGGUGUGUUGCUCACUUUGGCAAAGAACAUGUGGGUAGACAUGAGAUGGUGCCAGUUCUAAGCCUGUACCUUAAGAAGAAUCACAGUGUCUCUUUACCUCUUUCCUUCUGCCAUUACCAUGAGAAGCAUUCUCUCUGGAUACCUGUUCGUAUUAUCCCUACAGCCUGGAAUGCAGUUUGAAGAUAUGUGCAGAAGAAAUGCCCAAGCCGACCCCGGACCUACAGUGAGAAGCAGAACAGCCCAGAGAAGCUCAGCCUAGGGCAACAGAGACAGCCUAGUCAACCUACAGAUCUGGGACAAUAAAUGCUUCUGCUUUUAAGCCACCGAGUUCUGGGAGGUGAUUUGUUCCACAGCAUUAUAGUGGCAAUAGCUGAUACUUCAACCUCAUUUAGUUUUUGUAAGGGCUAGAUCUGAUAAUUCAUGUCAAAAGCCCUAGAACGUGGUAAGCACAGAUAUUAGGAUUCACUAUUAUUAACAUUUGAUCUUUAUUAGCUUAUAAAACUAAGUAUUUUAUGGGAAAGAACAGUUGGAAGAAAAAGCAAGAAUCUAUUUAUCAAUUCAAUGAGAUUCUCAUAGCUGAACUUGGCAAUUUCUUUGAUAUUUGCUAAAAGCCUUUCAUAGAAUGUGAGGCAAGAUGAUGGGAGGCCUCAGAGGAUUCGAAUUUAAGCAGAAAGAAAGACAGUCUUGGCACAGUGGCUCUCCAGCAUGGGGGGUGCAUACCCGCUUCUGUUAUCAUUGGGAUGAUCCACCAGCUUUCCUAUGGCAUUUUCAUUUUGCAAAGCAUUUCAUUUAACAAUCCCUCACUUAACCACUCCUUGGAGCCAAUCUGUACACAAAAAUAGACAGUUACUUCCUAGAGACUGCGAAAAAGUGAGACUUCUAAAGCUUUAGCCAGUAGCCUCUCUUUGUUCAUUGAGGGGUCCCAUAGUCCCAUCUUCACCCCAAACUGCCCUUCUAAUCUCGAGGCUAAGAUGUCUAAUUGCUCCCAGAUAUCCACGACAUGAGGUCCCAGACUCAUGUCACGCUUAAGAUGUCAAAAACAGAAUCCAUCAUCUUCUCUCUGUAUCUAGGACCUUGGCCUCAAGCUGUGGCUCCAAUUGUGUCCUUAUCUCAGUACCCAAACCAGAACCUGGUGGCAUCCAUGACUCCUCUCUCUCAUUCUUCCUUUCUCUAUUCCUUUCCCCAGGCAUCCAAGUUCUAAUUAUUUCUCAGAUCACUCCACCUCACUCCAUCAUCACUUCUUUCACGUCACCUUUUGCCUGGUUAAUAGUAAAAACCUCCCUAUUUGUCUCCCUGUCUGAACUUCUCUAUCGUUUGCUCUUUCUGCUUUUUUUCAUAUUACUUAUCAUUGAUCACCAUCUUUUUUUUUUACUGUGCAUAUCUGUCUGUGUGUGUCUGUGUGAGUGUAUGUGCAUGUGUACGUGCUUUCCUAAGUAUACUUCAUUCUCCCUAUUGGAUUGUAAAUUCCUUGUCUUUAGGAGUCAUGCCUAGAAUUUUGUUCACACUCAAGAAAAAUUUGAUAGACCUAAUCAAAAUUCAGAUUAGAUAUUUAACCAAGCUCUCUGGAUAAAUGUUUCUACUCCUCCAUUCCCAUUCGUAUUGGUCCAUUCUCACACUGCUAAUAAAGACAUUCUUGAAACUGGGCAAUUUAUAAAGGAAAGAGGUU